rnacentral:rRNA from 1 species
UAUUCUUUACUGCAAAGAAAUAAAUAUUAAGUAUUAAUAUUUUACCUUUUGCAUAAUGGUUUAAUAAUAUAUUAAAAAAUUUUAAUUCCCGAAGUUAGAAGAUCUAAUUUUUUAGUAUUUUAUUAGAAUAAUUAUAAUAAUGUUUCAAAAUUAUAUUAAUAACUAAAAUUAGGAGUGAAAGGCCUAUCAAUUCUAAAAAUAUCUGGAAUAAUUUAAAAUGUAUUUAGUACAAAAUAAAAUUUGAGUAAAAAAAUGUUAAGAUUUUUUUAUUAUAGAAUAAAUAUUUUAUGUAUGUGUGAAUUAAUCUUCUAACAUCAUAUUAUUUAUAUAAUUUAUUAUUUAUAUAUCUAUAUAUUAAAAUUACAUUUAAAAUAAUCAUUUAUUAAAUUGACUAUGUUAAAAUUAGUAUAAUAUUUUUAUUUAAUUAAGGAACUCGGCAAACUAUUAUUCAUCUGUUUAUCAAAAACAUAGUCUUAUGUAUUAAUAUAAGAUAAAACCUGCCCACUGAUAUAAUUUAACGGCCGCAGUACCUUGACUGUGCUAAGGUAGCAUAAUAAAUUGACUCUUAAUUGGGGCCUUGAAUGAAUGGAUAUAUGAAUAAUUUCUGUCUCAAAUAAACUUAUUUUAAAUUACUUAAAAGGUGAAAAUUCCUUUAAUAUAUAAAUUAGACGAGAAGACCCUAGGAGUUUAAAAAUUUUGUUGGGGCGACAAUAUAGCAUAAAACCUAUAUAAUAAUUAAAAAUAUAACGAAUAAUAUUAAUAAUAAAUAAACUACCCUAGGGAUAACAGCAUAAUUUAUUUUUUAAGUUUGUGACCUCGAUGUUGGACUAGGGACUUUUAAUAUUAACAGUGUUAAUUGGGAGUUCUGUUCGA